UUGAGACAUUUAUCGAUUUGUUUGAAUCAUGUUAACAUUUUACGGGAAUAUACCAUCGAACGAAGUCCGCAGCUUCCCUUAAUCGAGUAAAAGCUAUUUACUUAAAGAUGAAGUAAGUAGGGGUUUUACAAUAUGAACUCGUAAGUGAUGCAAAAACUCGUUACUUAGAUAAGUUAAAAUGGUUAAAUAGUGAGUUUCCCUAUUCAAUUCCCAAUUCUAUGUGGAAACACGGAUUAGAUUGUUGCCCAAUUGUUCCCAAAAUUUCCCCCACAGACAUAUUCAUCUAUUUGGUCUAAACCAGAAGUUAUCAAAACCACUUGGAGGUCCUUGGUGUAUACAAGGGCAUUUCUUCUGCAUCGCAGCAGGCUGUAAGAGAUGGCUGAGUUAGAGAGUUCAUGGCAAUUGCUCUUGGAACCCAACUUGUAUUGCUUUGGCCUUCACCAGAUUGCCUUGGCCUUCAUCUUCAAAAAUUGGAAAGCUCUAUUUCAAGUAUGAAAUGCAAGUAACUGACAAAAAGCAUAAGAGAAAGAAAAAUACUCGGGAAGCAGUAAAUCAGAAUACAGUACACAAAAACAGUAUAAGAGAGAAAGAAGCAACAUGGGAAACUAAGAAAUUUGUUGGAAGCAUCAUCUCGGUCAUUUCAUACUUGUGUUUGCCAUGAUAGCAACACAACAACAACUUCCUGUGUAAAGUGCUUAUCAUACAGGAAGAUUUUGUGCUAUUUCUGUGAUUUAUUAACACAUACAAAAAUGGUGUUUCAUGAUCGGGAAAUCUGCUGUGAAGGCACAGCUGUUAGGCUUUUGUUACAGAAUGAGUUUAUGAUUAUGAAUAUUAUUGGUGAAUAGAAAUUCAAGAUGUAAGUGUCCCUUUUUUUCUACUUAACAUUUGUCAAUGUGGAAUGUCUCAUACUCUCAGUUCUGUGUUUGGUUCAAGAGAUGUGAGAGUGACAACAAACACAGGUUCAUUUGAAUUGAAAACAGCCGCUUUUAAAUGUUCCCAUUGUGGUCUCGUAAGGGAAGCAGUUACGGAAGACUAUAUCUGUUCCGGAUUUUGGCCGGGCUCUGCCCAUGAUAAAAGCUUCAACUUAUUCUGCAGAG